rnacentral:rRNA from 1 species
CCUACGGGAGGCUGCAGUGGGGAAUAUUGCGCAAUGGGCGAAAGCCUGACGCAGCGACGCCGCGUGAGGGAUGAAGGUCUUCGGAUCGUAAACCUCUGUCAGCAGGGAAGAACGGUCACUGUGCUAAUCAGCAGUGAAUUGACGGUACCUGCAAAGGAAGAACCGGCUAACUCCGGGCCAGCCGCGGCGGUAAUACGGAGGGUGCGAGCGUUAAUCGGAAUUACUGGGCGUAAAGCGAUCGUAGGCGGUAUGUCAAGUCAAGGGGGAAAUCCCCGCGCUCAACGUGGGAACUGCCUUUGAAAAUGGCAACCUGGAGUGUGUGAGAGGAUAGUGGAAUUCCAGGUGUAGGAGUGAAAUCCGUAGAUAUCUGGAGGAACAUCAGUGGCGAAGGCGACUAUCUGGCACAUAACUGACGCUGAGGAGCGAAAGCGUGGGUAGCAAACAGGAUUAGAUACCCGAGUAGUC